rnacentral:rRNA from 1 species
GUCGUUAGAGUUUGAUCAUGGCUCAGAUUGAACGCUGGCGGCAGGCCUAACACAUGCAAGCGGACGGUAGCACAGAGGAGCUUGCUCCUCGGGUGACGAGUGGCGGACGGGUGAGUAAUGUCUGGGGAUCUGCCCGAUAGAGGGGGAUAACCACUGGAAACGGUGGCUAAUACCGCAUAACGUGCAAGACCAAAGAGGGGGACCUUCGGGCCUCUCACUAUCAGAUGAACCCAGAUGGGAUUAGCUAGUAGGCGGGGUAACGGCCCACCUAGGCGACGAUCCCUAGCUGGUCUGAGAGGAUGACCAGCCACACUGGAACUGAGACACGGUCCAGACUCCUACGGGAGGCAGCAGUGGGGAAUAUUGCACAAUGGGCGCAAGCCUGAUGCAGCCAUGCCGCGUGUAUGAAGAAGGCCUUCGGUUGUAAAGUACUUUCAGCGGGGAGGAAGGCAGUGAGGUUAAUAACCUUACUGAUUGACGUACCCGCAGAAGAAGCACCGGCUAACUCCGUGCCAGCAGCCGCGGUAAUACGGAGGGUGCAAGCGUUAAUCGGAAUUACUGGGCGUAAAGCGCACGCAGGCGGUCUGUUAAGUCAGAUGUGAAAUCCCCGGGCUUAACCUGGGAACUGCAUUUGAAACUGGCAGGCUUGAGUCUCGUAGAGGGGGGUAGAAUUCCAGGUGUAGCGGUGAAAUGCGUAGAGAUCUGGAGGAAUACCGGUGGCGAAGGCGGCCCCCUGGACGAAGACUGACGCUCAGGUGCGAAAGCGUGGGGGAGCAAACAGGAUUAGAUACCCUGGUAGUCCACGCCGUAAACGAU